rnacentral:rRNA from 1 species
GACGAACGCUGGCGGCGUGCCUAAUACAUGCAAGUAGAACGCUGAAGGAGGAGCUUGCUUCUCCGGAUGAGUUGCGAACGGGUGAGUAACGCGUAGGUAACCUGCCUGGUAGCGGGGGAUAACUAUUGGAAACGAUAGCUAAUACCGCAUAACAGUAGAUGUUGCAUGACAUUUGCUUAAAAGGUGCAAUUGCAUCACUACCAGAUGGACCUGCGUUGUAUUAGCUAGUUGGUGAGGUAACGGCUCACCAAGGCGACGAUACAUAGCCGACCUGAGAGGGUGAUCGGCCACACUGGGACUGAGACACGGCCCAGACCCCUACGGGAGGCAGCAGUAGGGAAUCUUCGGCAAUGGACGGAAGUCUGACCGAGCAACGCCGCGUGAGUGAAGAAGGUUGUCGGAUCGUAAAGCUCUGUUGUAAGAGAAGAACGAGUGUGAGAGUGGAAAGUUCACACUGUGACGGUAUCUUACCAGAAAGGGACGGCUAACUACGUG